CGCUUCCUCCUCUUCUCUUCGUCGUCUCAAUUCUCUCCUCUCGAGCCUCCUUUAACGACGAAGACAUCAAAGCAAAGCUUCCUCGACUCAUUUUCUCGGCGGAGGAAUGAGAUCAGAUCUGGCCGGCCUGCUCUAAACUGCUAUCAUAUUCUCGCCGUAGCCUUUUGGGUUUCUAAAGGAGCAGUAGAGGACGAUGUAGGAUCUAAUAUCUCUGGUUAAUAGGACUUGAAGAUCUUGCACGUCGUUGGUGGUUAGGUUUGAAUCUCGAUUCUCCCUUCAAAUCUGCUAAGAGCUCAGCGAAGUAUUCAGUUCUGGAGAGCAUCGUCGUAAAAGACUUUUUACCCCAUGGAUCUGGAAGAAGCUAGGUAUGUUGAUAAUAUUGAAGAAUAAGUUUCAAAGAUUGGAGAUAAGAGUGUAGAGAAUUCGCAAGAUUAAUUACAAGACUACCGGCUUUUGUAUCAUACAAAGUAUGAACUUAUCUUUAUUUUUACUUGGUAAUAUAUAGGUCGUUUGUAUCUGUUUCAUACAAAUAUAAUAAAAAAAAUCUGAUGUUUUU